rnacentral:rRNA from 1 species
UACGUAGGGGACAAGCGUUGUCCGGAAUUAUUGGGCGUAAAGAGCGUGUAGGCGGCUUGGUAGGUCCGCUGUGAAAACUCGGGGCUCAACCCCGAGAGGUCGGUGGAAACCAUCUGGCUAGAGUCCGGAAGAGGAGAGUGGAAUUCCCGGUGUAGCGGUGAAAUGCGCAGAUAUCGGGAAGAAUAUCCGUGGCGAAGGCGGCUCACUGGACUGGUACUGACGCUGAUGCGCGAAAGCUAGGGGAGCAAACGGG